GGCCCUAUCGUCUAACGGUUAGGACAUCGCCUUCUCAAGGCGGAAAUUCGGGUUCGAUUCCCGGUAGGGUCA
rnacentral:tRNA from 1 species